UUCUUCAAGCUAUACUUAAGCACUUGGACCUGAUUACAGUCCAUUCCUGGUAUUAUUGUUGGACCAAUAGCUCAGUCCACGCUGCAAAACAGGAUCUAGCGAACAGAGAAUGGACUCCAAUCAGCUGUCUCCUUCAUCUGAAGACAAAAACAUACCAAUGGCAAUCUAUCUCCUGAUAGUACACACCCUCAGGAUAUAGCUUUCACAUCAGUUAUUAUCAGCAACAGAUUUCAAAAUGAAUAAUAAAUCUAUUGAAACUGA